AUGUGUGUGUCAAAGCUCCUGAGUACUUCUUCUUUCCCAGCUAGGAGCCUCUUUGCCUUGCUGAGCUCUCGAAUCUUCUGUCUCUGCACAACAGAUUUCUGGAAAGACAAUGUCUUGGUACAGCACCCCCAGCCUUCCACCAAGGGAUUCCAGCAGAUGUUCACUCCCAGCUCAGCUUGGAUAGGACCACCAGGGACCCUGCCUUUGGUCUCCACAGUCACUUCCUGGGUGGUCUCAAAUAGUCAAGAUGCCCUGCUGGGAGGAGCUUCUAUUCCUGCUCUGUGGAAGAACUGGGCAUGCCAGAUGCCCAGAAGAGCCAAAGAAAAUUUAUUUGAAGUGAGCCCUUUGAAUUUGACCCAUCUUUCACUAGGAUCCACAGAUGGUGAAAUAUUAAUGAACAGGACAGCAAGAUUUGACUGGACCGUGCCUGAUGAGAUUACGACGUCUAAAGAAAGAACACAUCGUGAGAAGGAGAUUUCUGCUCAGUUAUGAACAAGGCAACCACAUUCAAUAAAUACUUAUUGAGUACCUACUGUGUUCCA
rnacentral:lncRNA from 13 species